rnacentral:rRNA from 1 species
AUUGAACGCUGGCGGCAGGCCUAACACAUGCAAGUCGAGCGGAUGAAGGGAGCUUGCUCCUGGAUUCAGCGGCGGACGGGUGAGUAAUGCCUACGAAUCUGCCUGGUAGUGGGGGAUAACGUCCGGAAACGGGCGCUAAUACCGCAUACGUCCUGAGGGAGAAAGUGGGGGAUCUUCGGACCUCACGCUAUCAGAUGAGCCUAGGUCGGAUUAGCUAGUUGGUGGGGUAAAGGCCUACCAAGGCGACGAUCCGUAACUGGUCUGAGAGGAUGAUCAGUCACACUGGAACUGAGACACGGUCCAGACUCAUACGGGAGGCAGCAGUGGGGAAUAUUGGACAAUGGGCGAAAGCCUGAUCCAGCCAUGCCGCGUGUGUGAAGAAGGUCUUCGGAUUGUAAAGCACUUUAAGUUGGGAGGAAGGGCAGUAAGUUAAUACCUUGCUGUUUUGACGUUACCAACAGAAUAAGCACCGGCUAACUUCGUG